AAGUUUGAGUCAUUUGACUCAUUUCUUCAUAUUGUAAAAUCAAUUCUAUAUACUAAGCAAUUGGUGGAAAUUUUCUUGAGUGAAAUAUACUUUGUUUCAGGCUAAUGCUUAUGUAAAGGUAGAGGGAGCAAUUGCUUGAAAUUUUCCAACACAGGCAAAUGAAGGUAGCAAUGUCAUGUUUCUCAAUCAAAUCUUGCUUUAGUUUGGUGGCAAUAUGUUUGGAAUCUGCUCAGCCCUUCAAUCUGUGUGCUGCAAGAACAAAUGAAAGCAAAAGGCAUGGAAGAUGUAUGGCGAGAAGAGUUGAUAGAGGACAUUGAGCAAAAGAUUGGGGUUCAAGGAAAUGGAAAAUGCAAGAAAGAAAGUGGAACUUGCUUACCAAACAUCAAUUUUUCCAAGACAUUCUGAAAUAACUUUUCCCAGCAUCAUUUUCCGCGACUAAUAUCCAAGCAACUUAUUCUCUAGACUAUUGGUCAUUCUGUGAAAAGCUUUGUUAAUUUAUUUUGCGUGUGUUUGCAGCUGUUUGGAUUAUUAAGAACAUAUGAGAAUAUGGUUUGGAUUACUUAAAAUCACAUUGUGCUUGCCACAUGUUAGUCAACUGAUAAAUAAUCUGGUCCGAAAAAGUCAGUGAAUAUGAGGCUUAGUGUACAAUGAAUUUGAGAUGAGAAAGGAAUCAUAAUCUCUCUGGUUUACUCUA